CACUCAUUCAUUUAUUUUUGGCAACUUUGUAAAUGAAAAUGAAUAGCUUGGAGAGAGAGAGAGAGAGAGUGUGUGUGUGUGUGUGUGUGUGCGCACACAUGUGCGGGUAUGUAUAAUUGCAGCCACCUACUGGUUACCAUGACAAACUACAGGAUGAAGAUGGGAGAAAAAGGGUCAGGGAGGGAAGGCAGAGCUCCAGCCAGCCAGGCCUUCCCUGGGGCAAGAAACAGACACAUUACACAUUACACAAAUCUGCUUUUAUUAUAUUAAAAUGUGUUCAUAAUUCCUUUCGAUUAUGUUAGGGAAAUUCCCGUUCAACUCCCAUAACCUUUAGGAAACUCACCAUAAUUCACAGACCAUUGGCACCCCCUGAUGUGUCUCAGCUAAAUUGGGUUCACCGAAGGGGAACAAGGACUCUGGGGAAGAGGGGCUGGGGCUAGGUGGGAGGUGGGAGCUGAUGAGAAGCAAGAUUGUUGCAUCCCUGGGAAGAUGACAUCAAUGAUCUGCUAACUGUAGCAAAAACCAUUUGGGUUGUGAUGUAAAUUAUCAAGAGUUUGGUGGGAGCCAGCCCUGAUGGCUUAGUGGUUAAAGUUUGGCACACUCUGCUUUGGUGGCCCAGGUUUGGUUCCCGGGCCCAGAACCACACCACUCAUCUGUCAGUAGUCAUGCUGUGGCAGCGGCUCACACAGAAGAACUAGGAGGAGCUACAACUACAACAUACAACUAUGUACUGGGCUUUGGGGUGGGAAAAAAAAAAGAGAGGAAGGGACCAGCCCCAGUGGCCUAGUGGUUAAGUUCAGCGUGAUCUGCUUCAGCAGCCUGGGUUCAGUUCCCAGGUAUGGACCCACACGACUCUGUUAGCAGCAAUGCUGUGCUGGUGGCUCACAUACUAAAAAAUAGAGGAAGAUUGACAAUAGAUGUUAGCUCAGGGUGAAUCUUUCCCAGGGGGAAAAAAUUGUAGAUUUUAAAAAACAAAGAAGUAAUAAGGAGUUUGGUGGGGGGAAGGGCUGGGAAGAAAACACCUAUUUAGAAGAGAGGAUAAGGCACUGGAGAACCGUCCUUGGAUGGAGGGCCGGUCCAUGCCGGGUGAAGAAGACCAUCGAGGGAAACCUCCUGUAGCCUGGAGGUUCAGGUCAGCUUGGUGCUGAUUGAGCUCAUCCUGGGUGAAAAGGGGGAGGUGGUGACACAGCCCAGGAGGUGCUGGUGCCAGGUGACUUCAAGACUUAGAAGCUGCAGAUGAGAGAGGGAAGAUGAUUUCGUUAGAGGCAUCUCGGGGAAUGCGUGAGCAGAAGUGAUGAUGUGGAGAAAAUAGCCCUCCAGAUGAAAAUUCAGCACAAUGUUCCUUACCACAUCCUAUUCCGGGAGAUGGCUCAUCCUUGCAGCCAUCUCAGCUCACUUGGAAUUCACAAGCCCACUCAGGUCCCCUUGUACCCCUUCUUACCUGGAUGGACACAGAGCUUGUCGAGUCUCAGCUGCCACCUCCCCAAACCUCUCAGAGGCAGGCCGCGGGAAGACAAUUCCCAAUGUGGAUGGGAAAAACUCUGUCCUUAAAAGGAAAGGACCAUCCUGGACAAAGAUUCAGAGUUGCCUUCAGAGUGUGCUUACUUUCUGUGCGCGGUCCUUACCAUGCUCCAGGGGAAUCUUGGCCUCUCUGUCUUAAGAGAUUCCUCAUGCCCAAGGACAGAGGUCUUCCCUGGCCUGUUGGUUGCUGUGGCCUGAGGAGCUCUCUUAUCCCAGGGGCCAGGGAUCGUGACUCAGCAUCCUCCUGGGGCUAUGGGGCCUGAGUCCAGCGGAACUCUAGAAAUCGUGCUGUUGAGGACUAGCUCAGUGUAGGGGCUGGUGCCGACAGUCCUCCAACUCUCUCUCUUUCUUCCUCCAUGCCUUUCCUCUUUCCAGGGUUGGCCCUCAGAACUACAGACUUUUGCUUCCCAUCCUUGGGAUGUGACAGAAGCAACUGAGCACAUACACACCCUGAAACUCUUGCUACCAUAGCCAGUAAAAGGAAGUAAAGAAUUUCUUAAGACGCAAACACCAUGAACCUUAAAGGGAAGGAUUGAAAAAGUAUUUGACUACAUUAAGACAAAAAACUUCAGUUUUCACAUACUUCUAUUUCAUCUCAAAUAAGUGAAAACACAACUCAAAGACAGAGAUAAUAUAUUAGCAAUAUGUAUUGCUGACAGAAAUUUGGUGUUAAGAAUAGAUAAAUAUUGCAUAUAAAUCCGUAAGAGAAAGACAAACAACACAACAGAAAAAUGGGUCAAGAAGAGGAAUAGGCAGUUCACGGAAGAGGAAGCUUCAGUGGCUGGUAAACUCAUGACAAUUUGCUCAACCUCACCAGCAAUCAGAGAAAUGCAACCAGAAACAAAGAUGCCAUUUCAUACUGGCUGAGAGAAACACGUUUCUUCCCCAAUCCUGAUGUUGACUUUAAAAAGGAAGAUUGCCCUAAAUAUUCACAGCCUCUUGUCUUACCCUUCCCCCUCCCCAUGGAGAUGGAAUGAGUUACCUAGUUGGGGGGGUCUUUGGCCCAUGUUUUUCUGCUGGGUGGAACUUAUCUAAAAAAGAUCCUGAAUGCAAGGAGUUUGGUCUCUUUUGCUCUCCCUCGCCACCUAAACCAGCACGAUCCAGCAGCCCAGCAUCCUCAAAUAGAGCACGAUAAGAUGAGACUCGAAGACUCAAGACGUGGCAGUGACAUUUUUGUAAAAGGUGAAAGACAGAAAGUAAAAGUUCACAGACAACUGAGAAAUGUUGAAAAUUUCUCCCAGCGUUGGAUAUUGUAUCAAUGAAGAACUGCCAUCAGACAACAUUGCAACAGGUUGCCUGCAGGAAAAUGAAAACAGAACUGUAGGAUUUGAUGCACCUCUGUGAUUCCUCUUGGCAGCAGAUUUUGCCUCUUUCUCAGACCAAAAAUAUCAGGGUGAGACCCAGAGAGCUGCCUGAGAGACCAACAAACCAUAUGGGACUAUAAGCUGCGAAGAACCAACGUGGACUUCGAUUUAGUGCAGAAGUGCUGCCACAUCUGUGGGUGAGCCCGGGAUGUUUCUGUUCUUAAGGAGCCCAGACACCAUCUAACCUGAGACCACCUCCCGCAAACUGCCCCCCACCAUGAACUUCUAAAUUCUUCGUCUUUUCUGACAAAUUUCACACUCAUUUUAGUUAGUACUUAAAGUUAAAAUACAACAUUUAUGUGUGGUUGGGUCCAUUGCUGCAUGAUUUAUAAUUCUCAAAGACUAGGGGGAGGUGAGCUAUGCAAUAAAGGGAAAUUGGCUAAAUAAAUUAUAGCAUGCCUACAUCCUGGGAUACAGGCAGCCUUUAAAGAGGUUCUUGGAGAAUAUUUAAGUUCAUGAUAUAGAUAGAUAGAUAGAUAGAUAGAUAGAUAGAUAGAUAGACAUAGAUAUAAAUAUAUAGAGAUGUAGAUAUAAAUUAGCAUAUAAUAUAUAUAAAAUUAGUGUCAAACAUUUCAUAUUUUACCCUUUAGAGUUGUCCUUAAGAAAAUACAACCACUCUAAAAACAGAGCUGAAUGUACUCGAUAAAGGAUUUCUCCUUUCGUGUCAGUUUGGAGAAGUUACAACCAUCCUAAAUCUCAAUAAGAGAGCCUUGUGCAGGACUGACAGCAGGGUUAUCAUCUACAGCAGACACUUCAGAAAACUUUAAAACUUUCUCUCCUUCUUUGCCCUGAAAGAGCAACCAAUGAGUAACUCAGAUAACACCAUCUAAGAGUUCAGGAAAUUUUAACUCAUAAAACAUUGUUAAAUGAAAAAAAAAAAUCAUGCUACAGUUUGUACAGUAAGAUCCCCAUUCUAUAAAAAAUAACAAAAGAAAAACUUUACGUACUUGUGUCUGAAGAUAUAUGCAUAUGAAAAAGUCUGAAAAGGAGAGCACAAAUGGACCCCACAGUGGACACCUUUUUUCCGUGUUGAUGCCAUCUCUGAACUUAGGGACUUGUAGAGGGUAGAAAGAUCCAGAAAAACACAACAGAAAAGCCAAACACAACCCAGGGAGGAGCUGAGUAGAGAACAGGGUGCUGGCAGACACUGGUUCAGGGCAUUUGGGGCCUAAUAGGCCUGGGUUCAAAUUCAGACCUGUCACUUACCAGGUGAUACUGUGGGCAAGCUACUUUUCUCUCUAAGCUGCAAUGUCUUCAUCUGGAAAAUAGGGUUUAUAAUGCCCACCUUGCAGUGCUAUCUGAGCAUAAAAGCACUAAUAUUGUAAAAUGUUUAGCAAAAUGGCUGGCAUAGAGGCAGGGCUCAGUCAGUGGGAGUAGGGUUUUUAAAAACCAACUUCAUUGAGGUGUAAUUUGCAUACAAUAAAAUGCACCAGGCCCCACAAAUCAUGUAGCUGUAGCCUGUCCUACCAUCACCAUAGAUUAGAUUUGCCUUUUCAAUGGUUUGAUAUGAAUGGAAUCAUAAGGAUGUGCUUCUUUCACUUGGCCUAAUGUUUUUGAGAUUCACCUAUGUUGUUGCCUGUACCAUCAGCUUAAUUCCUAACAGCCCCAAACUGGCAGCUCUCUCAAUGUCUAUCAGCAGGUGCAUGGUGUGUAGUAAAGAAUUAACCAGAGACAUGUCUGGCCUUUGCUUUCGGCUACUGGGAGGGGAUCUGUAGGCCCCUGGGAUGUCCUGCCUCCUAGAACUGUCUUUGUUUUCCUGGGGGCUCGGUCACCCAACAGUCUAACAAUGUGAUCUAUGAGGUGGGUUGGGACACACCACGUCAGCUCCAACCUCUGGGAGCAGCUGGAGACUGAAGGUCAGCCAUAUGGGCACUAUGUGAUCAAGCCUCAGUAAAAACUCUGGACACCAAAGUGCAGGUAAGCUUCCUGGUUUAGCAAUAUUCUGUGCAUUUUGUCACACAUUGAUGCCAGGAGGGUAACACAUCCCUGAGGACAUGGGAACUUCAUGUUUGAAGCCCUCCCAGAUUCUGCCGUAUGUGCUGGCACCUUUGGCUGGUUCUAAUUUGUAUCCCUUUGUUAUAAUAAAAUUGUGAUUCUAAGUAUAGCACUUUCCUGAGUUCUAUGAGUUGUUCUGGCAAAUUAUUGAAUCUCAGGGUGGCUGUGGAGACUCCUAAAUUUG
rnacentral:lncRNA from 1 species